ensembl:lncRNA
UCACCCCAUUGAACCCACUGUCACCCCAUGGAGGCCAUUGUCGCCCCAUAGACCCCAUGGCCACCCCACAGACCCCAUAGUCAUCCCCCCCCCUGCCGUCCCCCCUUUUGUCCCCACCCCUUUGUCCCCACCCCCACCCCAUAAAGGCACCACAGCCCACAGUGCCACCACCGCUGCGGGACCUCACUGCUCACACUGCCCGGUUACCUGCAGGGCAGCCGAGCGUUGGCUGUGGGAGCGGCGGCUGUGGGGACCCCCGGCCCACUUCUCCCCUUCUUGGGGGGUCCGGGGGGGCGACGGAGGGGUCGGAUCCUGGGGGGCGCUGCUGCUGCUGUCAGUCUCCCCCUGGGGGGCCCCCCCCGGCCCCGAGGAGCGUCUGCUGCCAGUUUGGGGGACAAAUACGGCCGCAACGCCUACGUGUGACACCCCCCUCCCCCCCCCCAAAAAAAAGGGGGACCCCCCCCUCAGGACUGUGGGGACGCCCCCACAGGAAAAUUGGGGAUCCCUCUCUCCGGAUCUUGGGACACCAAAGGACCCCCCCAGGAACAUUGGAGUACCCCCCUCCC